AUUACUAUUUUGGCAGAAAAGUGUAAUGAUUUUAGAAUUCAUAAAUAUAUAAUUUAUUAUAUAGAUAGUA
rnacentral:tRNA from 1 species